rnacentral:rRNA from 1 species
UGCAAGUCGAACGAUAGAUAGAGGCUUGCUUCUAUCGAAAGUGGCGCACGGGUGCGUAACGCGUAUGCAACCUACCUUCAUCUGGGGGAUAGCCCGGAGAAAUCCGGAUUAAUACCGCAUAAAAUCACAGCACUGCAUAGUGCAAUGAUCAAACAUUUAUGGGAAGAAGAUGGGCAUGCGUGUCAUUAGCUAGUUGGCGGGGUAACGGCCCACCAAGGCGACGAUGACUAGGGGAUCUGAGAGGAUGGCCCCCCACACUGGUACUGAGACACGGACCAGACUCCUACGGGAGGCAGCAGUAAGGAAUAUUGGUCAAUGGAGGCAACUCUGAACCAGCCAUGCCGCGUGCAGGAAGACUGCCCUAUGGGUUGUAAACUGCUUUUAUCCGGGAAUAAACCUGCUUACGUGUAAGUAGCUGAAUGUACCGGAAGAAUAAGGAUCGGCUAACUCCGUGCCAGCAGCCGCGGUAAUACGGAGGAUCCAAGCGUUAUCCGGAUUUAUUGGGUUUAAAGGGUGCGUAGGCGGCCUGUUAAGUCAGGGGUGAAAGACGGUAGCUCAACUAUCGCAGUGCCCUUGAUACUGAUGGGCUUGAAUGGACUAGAGGUAGGCGGAAUGAGACAAGUAGCGGUGAAAUGCAUAGAUAUGUCUCAGAACACCGAUUGCGAAGGCAGCUUACUAUGGUCUUAUUGACGCUGAGGCACGAAAGCGUGGGGAUCAAACAGGAUUAGAUACCCUGGUAGUCCACGCCCUAAACGAUGAACACUCGCUGUUGGCGAUACACAGUCAGCGGCUAAGCGAAA